rnacentral:rRNA from 1 species
CAGUAGCCGCGGGAAAACGAAGGGGGCUAGCGUUGCUCGGAAUGACUGGGCGUAAAGGGCGCGUAGGCGGUUGUCACAGUCGGGUGUGAAAUUCCUGGGCUUAACCUGGGGGCUGCAUUCGAGACGUGGUGGCUUGAGUGGGGAAGAGGGUCGUGGAAUUCCCAGUGUAGAGGUGAAAUUCGUAGAUAUUGGGAAGAACACCGGUGGCGAAGGCGGCGACCUGGUCCUUUACUGACGCUGAGGCGCGAAAGCGUGGGGAGCAAACAGGAUUAGAUACCCCUGUAGUCCCUGUCUCUUAUAC